UGCCUAGGAUUUAAUUGUCCUGGCAUAUGACAUAGAAACAACCAAACUUCCCCUGAAGUUCCCUGACGUCAGCACUGACCAAAUCAUGAUGAUUUCGUAUAUGAUUGAUGGACAGGGUUAUCUAAUCAUAAACAGGGAUAUUGUUACAUCAGAUGUAGAAGACUUUGAAUACACACCAAAACCUGAAUUUGAGGGACCAUUUAUAAUUUUCAAUGAACCAAAUGAGAUGGCGCUCUUGCAACGUUUUUUUGAUCAUAUUGUGGAAGUAAAACCAAUGGUGUUUGUGACUUAUAAUGGUGAUUCUUUUGAUUGG